UACGUAGGGUGCAGGCGUUAAUCGGAAUUACUGGGCGUAAAGCGUGCGCAGGCGGUUUCUUAAGUCAGAUGUGAAAGCCCCGGGCUUAACCUGGGAACUGCGUUUGAAACUGGGAGACUUGAGUGUGGCAGAGGGGGGUGGAAUUCCACGUGUAGCAGUGAAAUGCGUAGAUAUGUGGAGGAACACCGAUAGCGAAGGCAGCCCCCUGGGUUAACACUGACGCUCAUGCACGAAAGCGUGGGGAGCAAACAGG
rnacentral:rRNA from 1 species